ACGGGUGAGUAACACGUAUCCAACCUGCCGUCUACUCUUGGACAGCCUUCUGAAAGGAAGAUUAAUACAAGAUGGCAUCAUGAGUCCGCAUGUUCACAUGAUUAAAGGUAUUCCGGUAGACGAUGGGGAUGCGUUCCAUUAGAUAGUAGGCGGGGUAACGGCCCACCAAGACUACGAUGGAUAGGGGUUCUGAGAGGAAGGUCCCCCACAUUGGAACUGAGACACGGUCCAA
rnacentral:rRNA from 1 species